rnacentral:lncRNA from 1 species
GCUUUGCCGCCCGAAGUUUAUAAUAUCUGGGAAUCUUAUCCAUGGAGAUUUGGAGAGCCUUUCUGUAUCUUUAAAGCUUUUCUAUUGGAAUCAACUUCUUACGCAUCUGUAUUGACAAUUACCGGAUUUACGAUAGAGAGGUACAUUGCUAUCUGUCAUCCUAUAGUAGGACAAAGGGUAUCACGACAAUCUCGAGCAAUAAAAUGUAUAAUUGUGAUCUGGAUUAUAUCCGGAAUAGUUGCCUUACCAUAUCCGAUCCACACAAGAACGUUUUACUAUUUAAACG